rnacentral:rRNA from 1 species
ACGGGGUGCAGCAGGCGCGAAAACUUCACAAUGUGGGAAACCGCGAUGAGGGGAUUCCAAGUGCCAACACACUGUGUUGGCUGUUCACCUGCCUAAAAAGCUGGUGAAGUAAGGGCCGGGUAAGACGGGUGCCAGCCGCCGCGGUAAUACCCGCGGCCCGAGUGGUGGUCGUUAUUAUUGAGCCUAAAGCGUCCGUAGCCGGUUUGGUAAAUUUUUGGGUAAAUCGGGCAGCUUAACUGUCCGAAUUCCGGAAAGACUGCCAAACUUGGGACCGGGGGAGGUUGGAGGUACUCCUGGGGUAGGGGUGAAAUCCUGUAAUCCUGGGGGGACCACCAGUGGCGAAGGCGUCCAACCAAAACGGAUCCGACGGUAAGGGACGAAGCCCUGGGGCGCAAACGGGAUUAGAUACCCCGGUAGUCCAGGGUGUAAACGCUGCAGGCUUGGUGUUGGGGGUCCUACGAGGGCGCCCAGUGCCGGAGAGAAGUUGUUAAGCCUGCCGCUUGGGGAGUACGUCCGCAAGGAUGAAACUUAAAGGAAUUGGCGGGGGAGCACAGCAACGGGUGGAGCGUGCGGUUCAAUUGGAUUCAACGCCGUAAAACUCACCGGGAGCGACGGUUACAUGAAGGCCAGGCUGAUGACCUUGCCUGAUUUUCCGAGAGGUGGUGCAUGGCCGUCGUCAGUUCGUACCGUAAGGCGUUCUGUUAAGUCAGAUAACGAACGAGACCCUCAUCCUUAUUUGCAACUAUCCCUUUCGAGGUAUAGGCACUAUAAGGAGACCGCUGGCGCUA